rnacentral:lncRNA from 1 species
UUCCUGAUAUUUUUCUACUCAGGAUUCGAAAUCAUGAAAAUUCCAAGCAUAUAUUUAUAAUCCUAUUUGUUUCUACAUUUGAAUUUCCAGCACCUAUAUACAUUUUCAGUAAAAAUAUCCUAUUCGCGGGUUACCAAGAAGACUACUAUGUGCGGAUCUAAGAUAGCAGGGACAAGAUAAAAUCAGCGCAUACAUUUGGAGCGAAGUUUACAUUCACGAUUAAUUUCUGUAGGCUCCUUCGGGUGAUUAGAAUGCUAAGCUAUAUGGUCAUUGAAAAGAGUGAGUUUAGAUGUGGGCUUACAUACCAUGUAAAACUGGGUUCUACAUUCUUGAAGCAAACACACGGGGUUGUUUUCUUACAUUCAUGUUUUCAAUUGG